rnacentral:rRNA from 1 species
UACGGGGGGGGUAAGCGUUGUUCGGAAUUACUGGGCGUAAAGGGCUCGUAGGCGGCCAACUAAGUCAGACGUGAAAUCCCUCAGCUUAACUGGGGAACUGCGUCUGAUACUGGAUGGCUUGGAUUCGGGAGAGGAAUGCGGAAUUCCAGGUGUAGCGGUGAAAUGCGUAGAUAUCUGGAGGAACACCGAUGGCGAAGGCAGGUCUCUGGGACGGUACUGACGCUGAGGCGCGAAAGCGUGGGGAGCAAACAGG